GCGUCGCUGCCCCAGUGCCCUCGGCUCCCUCCGGAGUCUGUCUGCAGGCGGCCUCCCAGAUGAGGAAACUGAGGUGCUGGGAAGUAAAGACCUGAGCUCCAGGUCAUGUAGCCAACAGGUGGUGAAGUGCACACGCAAUACCUCUUAAGCAUUAACCUCUGUGACUCAGGGUUGAUCUACUUUUACACUAUGGAAGAGGAAAGGCCAGUUGCUAAACCUGUAUAAGGAUCAGCUAUAAAACAAGGACUGUGCCAAACUCAAAAUGGCUGAGAUUAU